GACGAACGCUGGCGGCGCGCUUAACACAUGCAAGUCGAGCGAGAACCAGAGCUUCGGCUCUGGGGACAGCGGCGAACGGGUGAGUAACACGUGGGUAAUCUGCCCUCGGUACUGGGAUAGCCCGGGGAACCCGGAUUAAUACCGGAUGGCCCUUUGUAGUCCUCGGACUUGAAGGAACAGGUAGCUUCGGCCUCCGACCGAGGAUGAGCCCGCGGCGGAUUAGCUUGUUGGUGGGGAACGGUCCGACCAAGGCUCCGAUCCGUAGCUGGUCUGAGAGGACGAUCAGCCACACUGGGACUGAGACACGGCCCAGACUCCUACGGGAGGCAGCAGUGGGGAAUCUUGUCCAAUGGGCGAAAGCCUGAGACAGCGACGCCGCGUGCGGGAAGAAGGCCUU
rnacentral:rRNA from 1 species